AUUAAUGAUUAUAUGAAAUGAAUAAACUAUAGUUAAUACGUAAUGUUGUCUUUUUCAUCUGGGCACACGCCAUUAUUAUCAAGGGUACAGCUUAAUUAAUCCUUGUGCAACCAACCA